rnacentral:lncRNA from 1 species
GUAAAUCAUCAAUCACACUAGACUCGGGCUCCAUUAGCAACCUUAAGCAAUUUCACACAUGCGUUAAUUCAAGAAAUACCGUUUUAUCAUUUUGAACUUUAAUACCGUGAUAGGAAAUAGGGUGAGGGGUCCUUACUUGUUUUCGAGAUCCGAAUACGAUUCACAGUGCGCCUGCAGGCCGUCCCUAAUUUUCCCUGAAUUUUUUCCCGGGGAACUGAAACACACUAACAGUACCUGCACGUGUUCCAAAAAAAAUCCAAAUUAGGCCCAGGGCCCCUUUCGGACCAAAUCGCAACUCCGGCACGGCGGCUCCGCCCUGCUCCGGCGACGGCGCCGCCGCUGGCGGCGGCGAGUCGCCUCGGGUUGACUGUUUUCGGCCGUUUUCGGCCGAAUUCGGCCACACUCGCAUUGGUCCUUGUCAGAAAACAACCCUAGGGCCCUCGGGGGGCCAAAAAAUCACGGAAAAACGGAGCUUACCGGCGGCGGCGCUCUCGGGUGCAGCGGCUCUCCGGCGAGGUUCGUGUUUUGGUGAUUCGGCUCCGGUCAACC